rnacentral:rRNA from 1 species
CAUCGCCUCUUGACUAAACAUAAGAGGUCCAGCCUGCCCAGUGACAUAGUUUAACGGCCGCGGUACCCUAACCGUGCGAAGGUAGCAUAAUCACUUGUUCUUUAAAUAGGGACUUGUAUCAACGGCAUCACGAGGGCUGUACUGUCUCCUUUCUCCAAUCAGUGAAACUGAUCUCCCCGUGAAGAAGCGGGGAUGAACCUAUAAGACGAGAAGACCCCAUGGAGCUUUAAACCCAUCAUACACCUCUGUAUAUUUAAAUCAACAUAACCCAAGAGGCUGUAUGCUGGUUUUAGGUUGGGGGGACCGCGGAGUAAAAUUAAACCUCCACGACAGACGGGCUAACACCCUUAUCUACGAACCACAAUUCUAAGAACCAAUAAAUUGUUGUCUAGUGACCCAAUAUUUGAUCAACGAACUAAGUUACCCUGGGGAUAACAGCGCAAUCUACUUCAAGAGCCCCUAUCGACAAGUGGGUUUACGACCUCGAUGUUGGAUCAGGGUGUCCUAGUGGUGCAGCCGCUACUAAAGG